GACGAACGCUGGCGGCGUGCUUAACACAUGCAAGUCGAACGGAGAAGCGAGUGCUUGCACUCGUGGAUCAGUGGCGAACGGGUGAGUAACACGUGAGUAACCUGCCCAUCACUCUGGGAUAAGCACUGGAAACGGUGUCUAAUACUGGAUACGAUCAACCCUUGCAUGGGGUGUUGGUGGAAAGAUUUAUCGGUGAUGGAUGGACUCGCGGCCUAUCAGCUUGUUGGCGGGGUAAUGGCCCACCAAGGCGACGACGGGUAGCCGGCAUGAGAGGGUGACCGGCCACACUGGGACUGAGACACGGCCCAGACGCCUACGGGAGGCAGCAGUGGGGAAUAUUGCACAAUGGGCGAAAGCCUGAUGCAGCGGCGCCGCGUGAGGGAUGACGGCCUUCGGGUUGUAAACCUCUUUCAGCGGGGAAGAAGCGAAAGUGACGGUACCUGCAGAAGAAGCACCGGCUAACUACGUG
rnacentral:rRNA from 1 species